rnacentral:rRNA from 1 species
CCUACGGGUGGCUGCAGUAGGGAAUAUUGCGCAAUGGAGGAAACUCUGACGCAGCGACGCCGCGUGGGUGAUGAAGGCUUUCGGGUCGUAAAGCCCUGUCGGCAGGGAAGAAAAAUCUUAUGGCUAAUAUCCAUAGGACUUGACGGUACCUGCAGAGGAAGCACCGGCUAACUACGUGCCAGCAGCCGCGGUAAUACGUAGGGUGCUAGCGUUGUUCGGAAUCAUUGGGCGUAAAGCGCGUGUAGGCUGUCAAGUAAGUCUUGUGUGAAAUCCCU